AGGUCUCCAGACUGAGAAGACCAGCCCAGAACAUUGUGGACAAAGGAGCCACAGUUGGGCUGGGCUUGAGAGGGAAGCAACUUGGAGAACGGAAGCCCACUCUCCGGCGGUCGGAUCCACACCCACCUCCCAAGGCUGGGGCGGAAUCGGACAGCAGUGUGAACGAGGCAGCUCUGAGCUCGCGAUGCCAGGCCCGCUCCCAGGCAGGUUCCAGAUCCCUGCCCUGGCCUGAUUUUCCUGUUCUGCCUCCCGAGGCUGCCAGAAGACACUUGAUAAAUAUGCCAGUGCUCUGGCCUUUGAGCCAGGUCUGGGGGACAUUCUUAGGCAUUAACCAAAGAAAAGCCAGAAGAAACUGAAGUCUAAAUUUGCAUUGCGCCUCAUCAAAGAAGUCAGCCUUGGUCUCUUUCUGGGUUCCACUUGGCCAGCCCCACGCUCUCACUUCUGCCUUCCUGCUGUGUCUUGACCCACCUCAGCUUCCUGCCCGUCAUGUAUUUCCCUCCCCUAGAGACCACCAAACGUCUCCACACUGCUCUGUUUCCCUCCCACCACAGGCAGUUGCUCUAACUAUUGAACUCUCAGGCACUGGGCUAAGGACAAGGGAGAGCCAGCUGACCUGAACAUCACAUGGCACAGGGAGCACUCCAAUUCUGGAACAUGCACUGCUCAGCCACUCUAGUAGAAUAAAACCAGAGGCUUUGAAGUUCCAUCCCAGUUAUGACCCAGCACUUUGGCAUACUCUGGAGAAUACAGGACAAGCCAAGGAACUCUCAGCUGAGCCUGUGUUGACUCAUCCCCAAAGCUAAAGAGUUCCCAUCCAAACUCACAGAAUCUGGAUUCUGGAGUUGCAGAGAUCCCAAGAGGCUCCUCGGGGCAACUGAAAGCUAGGACAGUCACUCUGGCUUUAUUCUCUUUCCAACACCAAUGUUCCUGAAGCUAUAUAGGAAGUGGGGGACACCAGAUAAGACACAGCAAGCAGAAUCUGUCCACUGAGAUUUCAAUGCAAUAAAUCUCAAGUAAGUUCAAAGCUC